GUGCAGCAGUCGCGAAACCUCCGCAAUGCGGGAAACCGCGACGGGGGGACCCCGAGUGCCGUGGCAACGCCACGGCUUUUCCGGAGUGUAAAAAGCUCCGGGAAUAAGGGCUGGGCAAGGCCGGUGGCAGCCGCCGCGGUAAUACCGGCGGCCCGAGUGGUGGCCGCUAUUAUUGGGCCUAAAGCGUCCGUAGCCGGCCCGUAAGUCCCUGGCGAAAUCCCACGGCUCAACCGUGGGGCUUGCUGGGGAUACUGCGGGUCUUGGGACCGGGAGAGGCGGGGGGUACCCCUGGGGUAGGGGUGGAAAUCCUAUAAUCCCAGGGGGACCGCCAGUGGCGAAGGCGCCCCGCUGGAACGGGUCCGACGGUGAGGGACGAAGGCCAGGGGAGCAAACCGGAUUAGAUACCCGCGUAGU
rnacentral:rRNA from 1 species